rnacentral:lncRNA from 1 species
AGAAAAUCUCCCUUGCAGAUGGACAACCCUAACUCGAAAAUUCCAAGUUACACUCUUAAUUCAACACGUCCAAACAUCACAUAAUUAACUUUCAGAAAUUCUACACAUAAUAUACAAUAAUCCCAAAGUAUUCAGAGCUACUAAACACUAGCGGAAGCAAGAAAACACGAGUAGGUUGAACAUGUAACCUACUGACGAAAACUGGCAGAAAUGCGGGUGACUAUGCCUCGCCUCCUACUAGAUCCAACCCGAAUUCUGCAGACUGGGCAAUUUAAAACGAAGGGCCCAGGGGAAAACAUUUAAUAACGUUAGAGUGAGUGGACAAAAAUAAAAUAAUAAAUAAAAUAUUUAUGUUUCCCCAAAUUAAUUUCUAAGGAAAAAUCGAAUGCAUGCCGCAAGCGAUAAAACUUUUAUCUCAUAAAAGAUCGAGCCUCUCAGACUCUAUAAUAUAUGUAUGUAUUUAUACUCGUCCAUACUCCCUAUAUAAAUUCAUGGGUCUAUAUAGGGCUACUACGCUCGCGUCCAACGCUCACGUCACGCCUUAAUGUGGUGCUACACUACGCCAUCAAGGUGGACAGACGGGUGUAUAAAUAUGUGUCCAUACCCCCUAUAUGAAUUAAACACUCAAAUAGGGCUACUACGCUUACGUCCAACGCUCACGUCACAUCAUAAUGCGGCUAUAUGCUACGCCAUUAAGGUGGACAGACACAUAUGGCUAGCUAGCAUUUCCUAUACAUACUCUCUCAUAAUUUCAUAUUUAUAUUCACCGAAAAUCUCAUUUUCGGUAACUCUCUAAGAGAAAUAAAAGCGUCAAAAUUAAUUGACGUCAAAAACUCCAACAAAAGGAAAUGUUCAAUCAUGAACCAUAGCAUGCAUAUUAUUUCAAAUAAAAGUCCACUCACAAAUUAGGCCUAAGCCUGAUGUCGAUCUGGGGUCUCGUCUGCUCGAGCCUCCUCACGUCCUGUUCCAAAUAUAAUAUUAAUUCCCAACCAAAUAAUCCAAUAUUUAAUCAAAAUAGGCAAAAUUACCCGAGAGCCAUAAUUACGCUCAUCAUUGCCUAACUUCGAUAUUCUUACAUCGGAACGAUCCGAACUUAAAUAUCAUAUUCAACAGUCGUAAAUACAA